UCCUGUUUCAAGUCACCCAGGAGGUCCUGAAU
rnacentral:piRNA from 1 species